rnacentral:rRNA from 1 species
GAUGAACGCUGGCGGCGUGCCUAAUACAUGCAAGUCGAGCGAACGGACGAGAAGCUUGCUUUUCUGAUGUUAGCGGCGGACGGGUGAGUAACACGUGGAUAACCUACCUAUAAGACUGGGAUAACUUCGGGAAACCGGAUCUAAUACCGGAUAAUAUUUUGAACCGCAUGGUUCAAAAGUGAAAGACGGUCUUGCUGUCACUUAUAGAUGGAUCCGCGCUGCAUUAGCUAGUUGGUAAGGUAACGGCUUACCAAGGCAACGAUGCAUAGCCGACCUGAGAGGGUGAUCGGCCACACUGGAACUGAGACACGGUCCAGACUCCUACGGGAGGCAGCAGUAGGGAAUCUUCCGCAAUGGGCGAAAGCCUGACGGAGCAACGCCGCGUGAGUGAUGAAGGUCUUCGGAUCGUAAAACUCUGUUAUUAGGGAAGAACAGAUGUGUAAGUAACUGUGCACAUCUUGACGGUACCUAAUCAGAAAGCAACGGCUAACUACGUG